AGAGAAUGGCGGUGUCUUAAUUGUUUUUGUCUUCUGCUAGUGCCUACUGUGGUAUAUUACUCAUCAUACAUGACUCGCUAUGGGAGUUCAACAGAGGGAGAGAGAUGACUUUCAGCUGCUGGGAUGUACUCUUUCUUAUGGUUUCCAAAAAUUUUACAGAAAAGAAUUUCUGCAACAUUUCUAGCUUAUCAACUACAAUUUCAGAAGUUUUGGGGCA
rnacentral:lncRNA from 1 species